GGUGGUUCAGUGGUAGAGUGCUUGCCUUGCAUGCAUGAAGCCCUGAGUUCAAUUCCUCAGCACCA
rnacentral:tRNA from 1 species